GGGGAUGCAUUGCAUCGACGAGAAAUGCACAUUAAAAAACGCAAGCCGACUUUGAUUUAAGUCGUUAAACAUGAUCGAAAUAUAAAUGCUGUUAAUACCAGCAGAGAGGCACUCUUAGCAGAAGCACGAGCAAUUCGUGAUAUGCUCGGAAUGUCUUCUAGACAACCAGCUUUUGCAUAUUCUGCUUAAGCUUAAGUCUUGUUUGUAAAGUCUUUUCUCAACGGGAUUUUAUAAGCACAAACACAGUUGAGAAAUAGUAAGGAAAGUUGGUUUCUGUCCUUAUCGUAUUUAUCAACCUUGACGCUAUUAAUUCUUGUUGAUUAGAAAAAAAUAGCGCGACUCUAAAAUAAUCAACUAAGCUUGUAGACGUUUUUAAUAUAGUUUCUUGGACUCGAGCUCACUGCUCGACAUCUCCACAC
rnacentral:tmRNA from 3 species